UCUUUCGUGAUGUAAGUGGCAUAUUAGGUUUUCAUUCUGAAGGAGCAAGUGGGUUGCUUGCCGGAAGAU
rnacentral:tRNA from 1 species